AAAUGGGAAAUGUGUCUCUAUAUCAUUAUGCUGAAAUCUAUCUCUUUGUUACAGGCUUUCAGAAGCUGCUGGAUCCUCUUCACUCUGGCUUGCUGAUAGUUUUAUCUUGCAGCAUUAUUCUGAACGUUGCUCUCAUUUGUAUAAGAUGUAAACUGACCUGUACACACUGUGCAGAUGAAAAGAACAGUGAUAUAUCAAAAGUGGAAUGGUCACGCAAGCAAUGCCAUGACGAGGACACACUGAAUUACGCUGCCCUGAACCUUAAGAAGCCAAAACCCAGGAGACAGAAGAAAGACGGGAAUAAUGACACUCUGUAUUCUGACCUCCGCUACAGAGAUUAUGAAUAAAGAUGCUUCUCAUUCAUGUCAGUCACACAGAGUGUUCAGGGUGUAGCUUUAAUAAUGUUCAGAGGAGGGCAGGGGAGCCAGUGCUUCUGAGACUGAAUCACGGGAUUUUACGGAGCACCGGUGCUGAGUUUGGUGUCAGUGUGUUUGGGGCGCAUUUUUACUGGAAGUGCAAAUGUUCAAGCCAGACUGGGGGCUGAGGGAGGGGGAGAGGGGAGCCACAGAGAUUAUUUCUUCAUGGCAUGGGGGGGAAUAAGCGGCUUUAAUGUUGUGGAAAGGCUGAGUUGCUGCAAUCAGUUCUUUGAUGUCACACAUGCUUACUUGUCUCCCUUGUGUACCAUGCUGAAUGGUUUGGGGCAAACGCACAGGGACUGAUCGAUUAUAUUAAACAGAUGAAAGAAACUGAAUGAAAAUUUCAAGUGUUCUUAAAUUACGUUUUUCAUUUAAUUGUGUGUUCUGGAUGUAUUUUUGAGUAUAUACAUGUACCUGUAUAUGUACCUGUAUAUAUACCUGUGUCGUUAAUAACGAUGUGGAUAAUUAAGAAAGAGGAGUUUUGUUUCUUGCUCCCUGUCUUGUUACUUGGCUCACAAACAUACACACACAUAGACACACACACAAACAUACACAGACACACAAACACACACACACAUAGACACACACACACACAAACACACAUGCACACAUGCACACACACACACUGCUACGGCUCUGUAAGAACACUACCAUGCUCUUUUGUGUGAGUGGGGUGGGGGGUGUUAAAUAAGAUGAAAAUGACA